AAAAUGGCGCGGGAGAAGGAGAUGCAGGAGUUCACCCGUAGCUUCUUCCGAGGCCGCCCGGACCUCAGGUGCCCAGGGGGUUGGAGAUGGGGUUGGAAAGGGCGCGGGUGGGACGGGACUCCGUCCUGACACCAUGUCCCUGCAGCACGCUUACGCAUUCCAUCGUGCGGCGGAGGUACUUGGCUCACUCCGGCCGCAGCCACCUGGAGCCCGAGGAGAAGCAGGCACUGAAGCGGCUGGUGGAGGAGGAGCUGCUGAAGAUGCAGGUGGAUGAAGCCGCUUCCAGGGAAGACAAACUGGACCUUACCAAGAAGGGCAAGAGGCCUCCCACCCCUUGUAGCGACCCGGAGAGAAAAAGGUUCCGCUUCAAUUCAGAGUCGGGUUAGUGCUUCCUCCCUGCUGUGGGGGCCUUCUGCAUCGUUGGUUCACUCAAGAAGCAUUCACUGCGCAUCUCUUAUGUCCCCAGGCGUUAGAUGAGGGAGCAAGGCUAGUGAGUCAAGAACCGGGAACAGCAAGUACAGAUAGCUGUUUCCUGCUGCCCCUCCAACUGUCAGGGCAGGGCUCGAGGCAACCUAUCCGAAGUGAAGGGAGAAGGGACAGGAGGAGCCUGUCUCAACCCUCUCUCCUCUCCAUAUUCCAGAGUCCGGCUCUGAAGCCUC
rnacentral:sRNA from 1 species